GUAGGUGGCAAGCGUUGUCCGGAAUUAUUGGGCGUAAAGCGCGCGCAGGCGGUUCUUUAAGUCUGAUGUGAAAGCCCACGGCUCAACCGCGGAGGGUCAUUGGAAACUGGAGAACUUGAGUACAGAAGAGGAAAGCGGAAUUCCACGUGUAGCGGUGAAAUGCGUAGAGAUGUGGAGGAACACCAGUGGCGAAGGCGGCUUUCUGGUCUGUAACUGACGCUGAGGCGCGAAAGCGUGGGGAGCAAACAGGAUUAGAUACCCUGGUAGUCCACACCGUAAACGAUGAGUGCUAAGUGUUAGGGGGGUUUUCCGCCCCCCUUAGUGCUGCAGCUAACGCAUUAAGCACUCCGCCUGGGAGUACGGCCGCAAGGCUG
rnacentral:rRNA from 1 species